ACUAUAUAUUUAAGAAACAAUUUAAGUCCUGGCUAAUUGUUUUUCUAUUUUCAAUAUUUUUCACCUUGACCUCAAGUUUAAUAUAUCAUAGUUUCAGUUUUGGCAUCAUAGUUACCUGAAAAGAGGAAAACAUUUUGAUUUAAUGAAGAUUUAUAUCUUUGCGAUGGAAAUGUUAAGAAAUUAAUUAGACAUUUUACGUUGAGAAGCCGGCAAUUAAGGCCCAUGAAAGGAUUAUCUAAUGACCGGACCGAGCCGAGCCGAAUCGAGCUAAGCCGAAUCGACCCGACCCGACCCAACCGAACCGGACCGGACCACUUUCCACAUGCAACCAACUGAAUGAAUGCCUUUUAAUUAAGUCUCGAGAUAUGAUUAAACGAAAGUGAUAUUAUGUUAAACGGAGCCUCGACAUGAAAGCCAGUGAACGGCCCUUCAUUGUUUUCGCACACUACAGAAGUUCAAAGUUCAAACACGCAAGUGAAAAGCGAAAGGUGAAAGGGUACAAGAUCCAAUAAGACAUAAAUCUAUACAGGCAAGCUGCCGUAAAUCAAAAUUAAUACGAGUCAAGAGAACAAAAGGGAAAGAUUGUUUUUUGCUCUCGAAAAUGUGAAACCCUCAACUGGAAUAAUGGAAUGACAGCGAAAAAACAAACACAGAGGGAGAGCGAGAGACAGAGAUAGGGAGAGACAGACUCACACAGUACUGAGGUGAACAUAUAAAAGUUGCAGCGGUGCUGGAAAUUGAAAUGUAAAUCGUGCUGACCUUGGCCCAGUGCAUGCGGCGUGUUGUUGCCUGAUGCCCGAGUCCUUAGUUCUGUAAUAAAGCAAGGAAACCAAACACGAACACGAACACGAACGGCUGGCUGCCAUCAAAGGGCAGCAAGGCACACACGGAGAGUACAAGUUGAG